rnacentral:rRNA from 1 species
CCCUUAGAUGUCCUGGGCCGCACGCGCGCUACACUGACAUGUUCAACAAGUUUCUCCUAGUUCGACAGGACUAGGAAAUCUUUGAACGCAUGUCGUGAUAGGGAUAGAUCAUUGCAAUUAUUGAUCUUGAACGAGGAAUUCCUAGUAAACGCGAGUCAUCAGCUCGCAUUGAUUACGUCCCUGCCCUUUGUACACACCGCCCGUCGCACCUACCGAUUGAAUGUUUCGGUGAAGAUUCCGGAUAGGACUGAUUUGAUUUAUUUCAUUUCUGACCUAAAAGCUAUCUAAACCUCAACAUUUAGAGGAAGGUGAAGUCGUAACA